rnacentral:lncRNA from 1 species
AUGUGUGUCCUGUCUCCUGCUGUUCCCUUCUGUCCCCUGCUGUCCCUUCCUGUCCUGUCCCCUCCUGUCCUCUCCCUUGCUGUCCCUUCCUUUCCUGUCCCCUCCUGUCCUCUCCCUUGCUGUCCCUUCCUUUCCUGUCCCCUCCUGUCAUCUCCCUUGCUGUCCCUUCCUUUCCUGUCCCCUCUUGUCCCCUCCUGUCCUCUCCCUUGCUGUCCUGUCCCCUCCUAUCCCCUCCUGUCCUCUCCCUUGCUGUCCCUUCCUUUCCUGUCCCCUCCUGUCCUCUCCCUUGCUGUCUCCCUCCUGUCCUGUCUCCCUCCUGUCUCCCUCCUGUCCUCUCCCUUGCUGUCCCUUCCUUUCCUGUCCCCUCCUGUCCUCUCCCUUGCUGUCUCCCUCCUGUCCUGUCUCCCUCCUGUCUCUCUCCUGUCCUGUCCCCUCCCCUUAUGUCUCCAUCCUGUCCUCUCCCUUGCUGUCCCUUCCUUUCCUGUCCCCUCCUGUCCUCUCCCUUGCUGUCCCUUCCUUUCCUGUCCCCUCCUGUCAUCUCCCUUGCUGUCCCUUCCUUUCCUGUCCCCUCUUGUCCCCUCCUGUCCUCUCCCUUGCUGUCCUGUCCCCUCCUAUCCCCUCCUGUCCUCUCCCUUGCUGUCCCUUCCUUUCCUGUCCCCUCCUGUCCUCUCCCUUGCUGUCUCCCUCCUGUCCUGUCUCCCUCCUGUCUCCCUCCUGUCCUCUCCCUUGCUGUCCCUUCCUUUCCUGUCCCCUCCUGUCCUCUCCCUUGCUGUCUCCCUCCUGUCCUGUCUCCCUCCUGUCUCUCUCCUGUCCUGUCCCCUCCCCUUAUGUCUCCAUCCUGUCCUCUCCCUUGCUGUCCCUUCCUUUCCUGUCCCCUCCUGUCCUCUCCCUUGCUGUCUCCCUCCAGUCCUGUCCCCUCCUAUCUCCCUCCUGUCUCGCUCCCCUUCUGUCCCCUCCUAUCUCCUUCCUGUACUGUCCCCUCCUAUCCUGUCUCCUUCCUGUCUCCCUCCUAUUCCCCUCCUCUCCUGUCCCUUUCGCCUCCCCUCAGCCCAGCCCUCAGUAAGCACAUCUGUCAGCGCUGUCAGGCUCACCCUCUCACUGCAGUCCUGCGGUCCUGCUCACCUCGGUGAACAUUCAACGCUGUCGGUGAGUUUGGUAUGA